rnacentral:rRNA from 1 species
GACGAACGCUGGCGGCGUGCUUAACACAUGCAAGUCGAACGGUGACGGCAGAGCUUGCUCUGCCUGAUCAGUGGCGAACGGGUGAGUAACACGGGAGUAAGCUGCCCCGCACGUCGGGAUAACCGCGGGAAAACGUUGCUAAUACCGGCGAUGAAAGCUGACUGGAGGGUGGGGGCUGGGAAUAUUAAUCGGUGGGGGAUGGACUCGCGGGCUAUCAGCUUGUGGGGGAGGUAACGGCCCACCAAGGCGACGACGGGUAGCCGGCCUGAGAGGGCGACCGGCCACACUGGGACUGAGAUACGGACCAGACUCCUACGGGAGGCAGCAGUGGGGAAUAUUGCACAAUGGGCGAAAGCCUGAUGCAGAGACGCCGCGUGAGGGAUGAAGGCCUUCGGGUUGUAAACCUCUUUCAGCAGGGAAGAAGCGAAAGUGACGGUACCUGCAGAAGAAGCGCCGGCUAACUACGUG